AACUUAUUAAUUAUUAGGCUAAAAUACAGAAAAUCUUUUUUAAAUAUUCAUUUUUUUCAUCUUUUCUCUUUAACUUUCAAAAACCUACAUUUUGCCCCAUUAAAAUUUCGGAAAUAUUUUUAGAUGGAUACGGUAUUAAUGGAAAAGGCAAAACAACCAAAUUAUCCUUAUUUCUUAUAUAAGAAAAAAAAAUAAUAUAUUUCUGUCAUUUUGAAGAAUACUUUCGGUAUAAAUUAUAAGAAAUUGACCAAAUAGUGGUGAAACCCUGAUGAAAAGAGGCUAAAUGCAACAACUUGAAAUAUUGAGAUGGUAAAAUAUAGGUUUUACAAAAUUAAGAAAAAAAAAAGAGUGAAGAAACUGAUAUUUA
rnacentral:lncRNA from 1 species